GACGAACGCUGGCGGCGUGCUUAACACAUGCAAGUCGAACGGAAAGGCCCUGCUUGUAGGGUGCUCGAGUGGCGAACGGGUGAGUAACACGCGGGUGAGUUGCUCCUUACUUUGGGAUAAGCCUUGGAAAGUGGGUCUAAUACUGGAUAGGACCACGAAGACGGCGUAGUGGUGGAAAGAUUAGUUUAGGUAUGGGAGGAGCUCGGGGCGUAUAAGCUGGUUGGUGGGGUAAUGGCCUACUAAGGCGUCGACGGGUAGACGGCCUGAGAGGGUGGACGGCCGCAUUGGGACUGAGAGACUGCGCCACGUCCUACGGGAGGCAGCAGUGGGGAAUAGGGGACAAUUGGCGCAAGCCUGAUGCAGCGACGCCGCGUGGGGGAGGACGGCCUUCGGGUUGUAAGCUCCUUUCAGCCAUGACGAAGCCCUUGUGGUGACGGUAGUGGUAGAAGAAGCACCGGCUAACUACGUG
rnacentral:rRNA from 1 species